GGGACGAGGGUAACGGUGGAGGCAGGCUGAGGACCUGCGGGUGCUGAUCCUUGGGGAUGGAGUGUGGGGACGAGGUGGGGGGCCGGGCCUGGCGGUGUGCAGUUGCGGGGAACACGGUCCCGCAGUGAGUGGGUCGUGGGGGUGGGGUAGGGGCACGCAGGGCGGGGGUUACAUAAAUGUUCCCUGGCGCCCUGCGAGGCAGCCGAAAGCGGUUGCCUCAUCUUAUCAGGGAACAGGGCGUCCCACACUCUUGCCCAAGCCGCAGGCCUGGGCGGGGACAGCGUGUUCUUUCUGAGAAGCCACAAGAGACCGGGCGGGAGCCCAGGGCUCUCCUCGCCCAACCCCCGCAACGGCGCCCCGCCCCGGGGCCCGUCUUGCGCAGGUGCAGCCGCGCUCACUAGUGCGCAUGCUCAGCUCGGAUGGGUCCAGAGACCGCCUCCCGUUUGCCCUCCAUCAAGGGCGUGUGCGCCCCGUGACCUCACUCGGCCCAUCCCACCUCGGCCAAACUUGCCAGGCUCCACAGAGUGAGGGAGGUGCUGGCUCCAAGACCGACUACGUCGUGGUUCUUUUCUGUGUGUGAGCCCCUGGUGGGCAGUCGAGGCAGUGGUGGUGCCCUGAGCCAGGACCAGCGCCGCGCCUGCAGACCAGGGCCCCUUCUGGGCAGUGAGUGCUGGGCUCUACCGGCCCCAGCUUCGGGGAGCCUGGGGAAGGGAGAAGGGAAGAGAAGUCUGACCUGGGGCCCCGGGACAGAAAAGCAGGUGGUCCAGGGGUGCCUAGAUCCACAACAGCACACCUCGGUGAGCACACGGCAUCUGUGCGGGAGACCAUUCGGCUUCUCUGCUGGUGUCUUACAAACCCACAUGGAGCUGACACUUGGAUGCCUGUGUCCUGGGGAGUCCAGGCUGGAAGCUCUUACCCACCAAUGUACAGGUGAGGGAGGUGAGGCCCAGGAGAAAGAACUGCCACCUGGUGGGAUCCCCCUUGCUCUGGGACUCAGCAGGCAGAAGCAGUGAUUUCUGCCUGGAAGCUGCCCCUGCAGAGGUCAGCACCUGCCCCUCUCCAGCACCUGCACUCCUGCUCAUUUGUCUGGGCUGCAUCUCACAGUAACUGUGAAGGUUUAGUGUGAGAACACACAUGUGUUCUGAGAAGAUAGGCGGUUAUCAUGGGCGGAGCUCCUGGGAGCGUCCCUGGCUAGACAACCAGCCAGUGCUCAUUUCUGCCGAAACUGCCUGGCCCUGCCUGGGGUGCUGCUCUCCUUCAGCAAUGCUGUGGUGCAUGCAUGUGGCUCAUCACACGCUCCUGUGCACUCUUGCACAUGCCAGGGCUGGCAGGACAUGAAGGGAGGUGGUACCUGGCUGGAGACUGCUACACAAAGCCUGGGGGCUCCAGUUAAACAAGCAAAUCUGCCUUCUGCA